AGCAUAUCAAUAAGCGGAGGAAAAGAAACCAACAGGGAUUACCUCAGUAACGGCGAGUGAAGCGGUAACAGCUCAAAUUUGAAAUCUGGCUCUUUCAGGGUCCGAGUUGUAAUUUGUAGAAGAUGCUUCGGGUGUGGCACCGGUCUAAGUUCCUUGGAACAGGACGUCAUAGAGGGUGAGAAUCCCGUAUGUGACUGGCUGCCUUCGCCCAUGUGAAGCUCUUUCGACGAGUCGAGUUGUUUGGGAAUGCAGCUCUAAAUGGGUGGUAAAUUUCAUCUAAAGCUAAAUAUUGGCCAGAGACCGAUAGCGCACAAGUAGAGUGAUCGAAAGAUGAAAAGCACUUUGGAAAGAGAGUUAAACAGUACGUGAAAUUGUUGAAAGGGAAGCGCUUGCAACCAGACUUGCACGCGGUUGAUCAUCCGGUGUUCUCACCGGUGCACUCUGCCGCGUUCAGGCCAGCAUCGGUUUCGGUGGUUGGAUAAAGGCCCUGGGAAUGUGGCUCCUCUCGGGGAGUGUUAUAGCCCUGGGUGCAAUGCAGCCUACCGGGACCGAGGACCGCGCUUCGGCUAGGAUGCUGGCGUAAUGGUUGUAAGCGACCCGUCUUGAAACACGGACCAAGGAGUCUAACAUCUAUGCGAGUGUUUGGGUGUCAAACCCAUACGCGUAAUGAAAGUGAACGGAGGUGAGAACCCUUAAGGGUGCAUCAUCGACCGAUCCUGAUGUCUUCGGAUGGAUUUGAGUAAGAGCAUAGCUGUUGGGACCCGAAAGAUGGUGAACUAUGCGUGGAUAGGGUGAAGCCAGAGGAAACUCUGGUGGAGGCUCGCAGCGGUUCUGACGUGCAAAUCGAUCGUCAAAUCUGCGCAUAGGG
rnacentral:rRNA from 1 species